rnacentral:rRNA from 1 species
GAUGAACGCUGGCGGCGUGCCUAACACAUGCAAGUCGAACGAAGCACCUUACCUGAUUCUUCGGAUGAAAGUUUGGUGACUGAGUGGCGGACGGGUGAGUAACGCGUGGGUAACCUGCCCUGUACAGGGGGAUAACAGCUGGAAACGGCUGCUAAUACCGCAUAAGCGCACGAGGAGACAUCUCCUUGUGUGAAAAACUCCGGUGGUACAGGAUGGGCCCGCGUCUGAUUAGCUGGUUGGCAGGGUAACGGCCUACCAAGGCAACGAUCAGUAGCCGGUAUGAGAGGAUGAACGGCCACAUUGGAACUGAGACACGGUCCAAACUCCUACGGGAGGCAGCAGUGGGGAAUAUUGCACAAUGGGGGAAACCCUGAUGCAGCAACGCCGCGUGAGUGAAGAAGUAUUUCGGUAUGUAAAGCUCUAUCAGCAGGGAAGAUAAUGACGGUACCUGACUAAGAAGCUCCGGCUAAAUACGUG